CCUACGGGAGGCAGCAGUGAGGAAUAUUGGUCAAUGGGCGCAAGUCUGAUCCAGCCAAGUAGCGUGAAGGAAGACUGCCCUCUGGGUUGUAAACAUCUUUUAUAAGGGAAUAAAACGAGGCACGUGUGCCUUUUUGCAUGUACUUUAUGAGUAAGGAUCGCCUAACCCCAUGCCAGCACCCGCGGUAAUACGGAGGAGACGAGCGUUAUCCGGAUUUAUUUGGUUUAAAGGGAGCGUAGAUGGGUUGUUAAGUCAGUUGUGAAAGUUUGCGGCUCAACCGGAAAAUUGCAAUUGAUACUGGCAGUCUUGAGUACAGUUGAGGUAGGCAGAAUUCGUGGUGUAGCGGUGAAAUGCGUAGAUAUCACGAAGAACCCCGAUUGCGAAGGCAGCUUACUAAACUGUGACUGACGCUGAUGUUCGAAAGUGUGGGUAGCAAACAGGAUUAGAUACCCUGGUAGUC
rnacentral:rRNA from 1 species